rnacentral:rRNA from 1 species
UACGUAGGGGGCAAGCGUUGUCCGGAUUCAUUGGGCGUAAAGAGCGUGUAGGCGGCCAGGUAGGCCGGUUGUGAAAACUGGAGGCUCAACCUUCAGAGGUCGACCGAAACCAUCUGGCUAGAGUCCGGGAGAGGAGAGUGGAAUUCCUGGUGUAGCGGUGAAAUGCGUAGAGAUCGGAGGAACACCCGUAGCGAAGGCGGCCGACUGGACCAUACUUGACGCUGAGGCGCGAAGGCCAGGGGAGCGAACGGG